AAGUGGCGGACGGGUGAGUAACACGUGGGUAAUCUACCUUUCAGUGGGGGAUAACAGUCCGAAAGGAUUGCUAAUACCGCAUACGUCGGCGAGGUCUUCGGACUUUGCCGGGAAAGCCGGCCUCUCCGCACUGGAAGAGGAGCCCGCGGCCCAUCAGCUAGUUGGUAGGGUAACGGCCUACCAAGGCAAAGACGGGUAGCUGGUCUGAGAGGAUGAUCAGCCACACUGGGACUGAGACACGGCCCAGACUCCUACGGGAGGCAGCAGUGGGGAAUAUUGGGCAAUGGGCGCAAGCCUGACCCAGCCACGCCGCGUGAGUGAUGAAGGCCUUCGGGUCGUAAAGCUCUGUGGGGAGGGACGAAACCACGCUGGCUAAUAUCCAGCGGUCUGACGGUACCUCCUUAGCAAGCACCGGCUAACUCCGUGCCAGCAGCCGCGGUAAUACGGAGGGUGCAAACGUUGCUCGGAAUCAUUGGGCGUAAAGCGCACGUAGGCGGUCCGGCAAGCGGGGAGUGAAAUCCCUCGGCUUAACCGAGGAAGUGCUUUCCGAACUACCGGACUUGAAUACUGAAGAGGAUCGCGGAAUUCCCGGUGUAGAGGUGAAAUUCGUAGAUAUCGGGAGGAACACCAGUGGCGAAGGCGGCGAUCUGGGCAGAUAU
rnacentral:rRNA from 1 species